GAAACAGCAGGAGAGAUGUGGAGCACCACCCAAGCUCCAAAACAAGAACCACAAGGGUAGCUCAUGGGUCGCAGGGAGUUCUGGAGCCUAUCCCAGCUGUCAACGGGCAGGAGACGAGAGUGGAGAUGGAGCGGUCACUGGAGAGAUAUGAAAAUGAGUUCUGUCUUCUCAAUGAGUAUUCCACUCACGGCGUCCUGACCUUGAGGUUUGGAUUCCUGGCCAGGCAGGUACAGCUGGUUCUGGAAUACAAAGCAUGGAUCAUAGAACAAGAUGGUGGUAGCUAAACUGGAAAAUAUACUUCUUGAGUCUGUCUUCUGUCAAGAUGAGUUAAAAUGCAAAAAUUUGUGUGGAUUUCUAUUCACAUGGGCUGUUUUUUUCUUUUCUCUGAUGCCUGUUGA